UGCACAGCUGCACGCGUGUGUUGCACGCAGAGCUGGGGGGCCCAGAGCCUUGAGCACGUCAGGGAGGCCAGUCCGCCAGGACGGAGAGGACAAUGAAGGCUUCCCUGAGGAAGAGGGAGUCGAGCAGGAGAAGCCCGGUGAUCUUCCCUCCCGGGCACAGAGAAGGGCGGUUGAAAACACAGAGAUAAGAGAGGGCUGCGCAUGGGGGCGCGGGAUGGGAGCUGCUAAACGAUUAGGGACCACAUUAGGUCACACUAAAGCAUUUGGGAGCAGCAGGCCACGGGAUAUUUUUUAAAUGGGGCGCUGAUGUGAUGUGGCCAUCGUCCUGGAGACACUGCUCUGAGGUCAGGCGUGGGCACUGGUUUGGAGACCAAGGGCCGGAAGUCCAGGUGGCAGGAUUUGCCCAGCACGACCUUGAGUGCCGCAAGGACAAGCACAGACUCAGAAACGCUCUGUGUGUGAAGACGCUCCAUGAGCAAAUGAAGACGCAACGGGUGCAGAUGAAACGCCCGACCUUGAAUUGCAACAGGACCUUGAGAAUCAGAAGAGAAAGGGAUUCUGUUUCCCGUCGUGCUUUCAGGCUGGAUUUGUUUACUGCCUUUAACGUGCUUUGGGAAGCGACUUUCAGGCUUUCCAUCCUUAGCACGUGCCUGGUUACAUUUCAUCUAUUUUGUUAACAUGCAAGCCCUUCCAGUUGGGUUUUAUUUAGACCCAUUUCCCAGAUGAGAACUUGGCUGGGACAGGCUAGAGAAUCGACCAGGGGCGCAGCUGGCCGGUGGCAGAGCCAGGGUUUGCUCCAGGCCCGUUACUAUUCCUCACUGCCUUUGGCAGAAUGAGGUCUCAAUGGCUGCCGUCCACCCCGCCUACUCCCUCGUCCGUCCAGGCCCGGCACCCCUGUGCCCAUUCAGAGUCGAGUCCGUCUCUGAAUCCCUUCUCUGUCUGAGUUUCCUUCUCAAGGCUCCCCAGACAGGCUGCCCGAACAUCUCAAACAUGUUCAAGCCCUAAUAUUUAUUCCUCCCUAAUUCAAGGUUCUUCUCAGCAGACUGUGUGCCCGACGGCGGGAGGCCUGGGCCUACCCGCCAUCCCUCCGGUUCAGGGAGCUUUCGUCUACUUCCGGCAGCACCACGUACACAGAACCGCUUGUGAAGUUUGCCGGCCUCGGGUCUCUUGCCCAUCACCAGCCCCCAAGCCCCCAAGUUCCGAGCACAUGGGGGCCUUCUCUAGAGGAUGUGACGAAUGCACUUUGAGCCUUCGUGGAGUUUACUUGGUGCAGAUGAGGGACAAACCAUGUAAAAAUUUAAAGCAAAGAUAAAAAAUAAAUUGGACAGUAUGAUGGGAGAGGAUACAUGCUGUGAAAAAAUACAGGGCAGGUUAAAGGAUAUUUGGGGUGCUGGGAGGGGCUGGCCAGGAGCAGCUCCUUCCCGUGUCCCCUGUGGGUAUCUGGGUCCGACCACCCCAGGAGAGGAGCGGCGGGUGCGAAGGCCCUGGGGUAUGUGUGGUGUGCAGGGAACAGUGAGGACACCAAAGCGUUUGGAGAGUAGAGACGCCACGGUCAGGGGACGGGGCACGGAUCACGUGCCUCCAGGGCCCAGAAGGGACUCUGGCUUUGUUCCGGGUCAGACGAGGCACCACUGCAGGGUUUCCGCAGAGAGUGGUGCAGACCAUUAACGAGCUCACAGUUUAUUCCCGAGUUUCAGAAUCCAGUCUGAUGCUUCCAAGUGUUUUUGCCUCUUGCUGUCUGGGUGUCCUCAGGUAUAUUUAUCUGUGCUGUGUUUCCUUUGAAUGCAGCACACUGAGGGCAGGAGUGUGUCUGGAACGCGCCCGUCUCCUAAGAUGUGAUAGUACCUUUCUUUUUUCUGCUGCGCCUCGAGGCUUCUGGGAUCUUAGUUCCCCAACCAGGGAUCCACCCUGGGUCCUCAGCAGUGCAAGUACCAAGUCCUAACCGCUGGACCGCCAGGGAAAGUCCCUGGCCGUGCACCUUUGUGAGGUUGUGGGGAGACAUCACGUCUCAAGAGAAUCCAGUGCGCCCCAGGCCACAAAAUCCACAUUUAUUAACUGUGCUGGGCAGGUGGCUCUUGGGAUCCGGACCCCACACAGGGCAGUUGACAGGCCUUGGCAAACGGUGGAGGGAGAAGAAGGGCCCACAAAGAAACAAGUGUGUCAUGAAUGAGCUCUCUGUCAUAGGUUGUAUUGGGUCCCCUCAAAGAAAGGUGCUGAAGGCUUACACCCAGUAACCCAGAUAUAGGGUCAGGGAAGGUGUGAUUAGUUAGAUGAGGUCGUCCGGGAGGGGGACCCUUAUCCAGUGUGAUUGGCAUCCCAAUAAAAGGGGAAACCUGGACACAGGCCUGUGAGGACAGAGGCAGAGAGGGGAGGUACCUCCAGGGCCUGGGGUCCCUGCCGAAGACUGUCUGCACCACCGAAAGCUGGAGGGGCCGGAAGCAUCCUCCUCUAGGGCCUUGGUUUCACACUUCUGGCCUCCAGGACCACGAGAGGAGCCGUUUCUGUGGUUCUAAGCCCCCGUCUCUGCUGCUUUGUCAGGGCGCGCUCAGAAACCACUGCUCUCUUGAGUGGAGCGUGGAUGGCCUCCUCGGGCACGUGUGUGUUUGCUGGGAAAUCACACAAAACCUCGGACCUGCCCGGCAACUCCUUCUCUCUGUCUGUAUCCAAACCUCAUGGCUCUUCCCCGUAUGCGGAACCUGUCCCUGGGGUCACCUACCCACGGCCCCGGUCCAGGCCACGUCCCCCAGACGACGGUAGCACCUCAUUACCGGCCCUGUUUCACCUUGUGCCACUGCGGUCCCAUCUCUGUCGGGUAGCCACACUCAGUCUGGUCCGGGCCGCUCGCCGUUCUGGCGUCCUUGCUACCUCCUGGGUCCACAGGUGGAUCCCAGGGUCAGAACUUUGCCCAGACAGCCGGCUUCCUUCCCCCUCACCUUCUCAUCUUUGUUCCCCUUGCUAUGCCUGCUCAGCUGUCCUCCCCACGCCCCCGUUCGCCUUCUGCCCCGUAGCACCGGCCACCCUCCCAGGCCGUGUAACUGACUUGGUCUGUUUCUCACUGGUUGCCCCACCUGAACUCCACCGGGGAGGAAAGGGUUUAUCUGUUUAAUCUGCCUUGUUCCUCAGUGCUUCCGGAAAGCCCGCAACAGUGCCUGCCACAGAGGAGGCAUUUAAGAAAUGUUUGUGAAGCAAUGAACAGCUGCAUGAAUAAAACGGAAUUAGAGUUUC